rnacentral:rRNA from 1 species
AUUGAACGCUGGCGGCAUGCCUUACACAUGCAAGUCGAACGGUAACAGGUCUUCGGAUGCUGACGAGUGGCGAACGGGUGAGUAAUACAUCGGAACGUGCCCAGACGUGGGGGAUAACGAGGCGAAAGCUUUGCUAAUACCGCAUACGAUCUAAGGAUGAAAGCAGGGGACCGCAAGGCCUUGUGCGUUUGGAGCGGCCGAUGGCAGAUUAGGUAGUUGGUGGGAUAAAAGCUUACCAAGCCGACGAUCUGUAGCUGGUGUGAGAGGACGACCAGCCACACUGGGACUGAGACACGGCCCAGACUCCUACGGGAGGCAGCAGUGGGGAAUUUUGGACAAUGGGCGAAAGCCUGAUCCAGCAAUGCCGCGUGCAGGAUGAAGGCCUUCGGGUUGUAAACUGCUUUUGUACGGAACGAAAAGGCUCUGGCUAAUACCUGGGGCACAUGACGGUACCGUAAGAAUAAGCACCGGCUAACUACGUG